rnacentral:lncRNA from 1 species
UUUUAAUGUAUGGAAAGAAGAGCUUCUGGAGUGGAAGGAGAGCCUGUGACCAUGGCAUCCUCCUUCUCUUCCUCGGCAGCAUCAUGACAAUGGCUCAAGCACAGUCAGCACUUCUCACGGUCCAGGCACUGGGCUAAGCACUUUCCAUAAGCCCCACCACCAGUUAUGCAGGAAUGUGUGAAUUUGGGCGCCAGUGAAGAGAGGGGUUGACUUUGAGCCAGUUUUUACUGAGUGAUCCGAUGCUGGACACCCCUGCACUCUGACACUUGGACCUCUUCCUGAAGCAUCACCUGUGGGAAUGGCCUCCAGAUGUGCCAGGAAGAUCCAUCCUGCACUGUGAGUUUAGCAUUUUCUUCAUUGUCUCCUGUUCAUCCCAUUGUCUGUCCACAUACCGCAUGGCCCACGCCACAUCUGCCUCCUUUCUGCACAACCACUUGGAAUACGAAAAGCCCCUCUACGCGGAGAAUGCCCAUGAGUUCAACCUCUGGUGCCAGGAUGGAGAGUGGAAAGAAUCAGGCUCUUCUCCCCAGAAUGCUGUGGCUGACAAAGAAAAUAUAGGAACAGGCGGUGAGGAGAAAGCUGGUCAGAGCAAAUAUCACACCGAAACAGGUCUGUUGAAAGCCCAAGGAGGUAAGUUUUGAUUUGCUUUAGCCUCAAUUUUUUUUCUUUUUUUCUGGAAAGUAUCAGGUGAAUUUGCCUCCAGCCAGCAAUAUGUGAACCGGCUAAAUUUUACAAAGCGUACCUAGUAGGAAAGAGUUGUCCAUUUUUUCUAAUCAUAAACUGCCAACAGCCUCCCGUCGCUCUUUUUAGAAAUUUGGAUUCUCAAAUUAAGCUCAGGC